GAUGAACGCUGGCGGCGUGCCUAACACAUGCAAGUCGAGCGAUUCUCUUCGGAGAAGAGCGGCGGACGGGUGAGUAACGCGUGGGUAACCUGCCCUGUACACACGGAUAACAUACCGAAAGGUAUGCUAAUACGGGAUAAUAUAUAAGAGUCGCAUGACUUUUAUAUCAAAGAUUUUUCGGUACAGGAUGGACCCGCGUCUGAUUAGCUUGUUGGCGGGGUAACGGCCCACCAAGGCGACGAUCAGUAGCCGACCUGAGAGGGUGAUCGGCCACAUUGGAACUGAGACACGGUCCAAACUCCUACGGGAGGCAGCAGUGGGGAAUAUUGCACAAUGGGCGCAAGCCUGAUGCAGCAACGCCGCGUGAGCGAUGAAGGCCUUCGGGUSGUAAAGCUCUGUCCUCAAGGAAGAUAAUGACGGUACUGAGAGAGCCCCCG
rnacentral:rRNA from 1 species